GGCGUAGUCGAUGGGAAACAGGUUAAUAUUCCUGUACUUGGUGUUACUGCGAAGGGGGGACGGAGAAGGCUAUGUUGGCCGGGCGACGGUUGUCCCGGUUUAAGCGUGUAGGCUGGUUUUCCAGGCAAAUCCGGAAAAUCAAGGCCGAGGCGUGAUGACGAGGCACUACGGUGCUGAAGCAACAAAUGCCCUGCUUCCAGGAAAAGCCUCUAAGCAUCAGGUAACAUCAAAUCGUACCCCAAACCGACACAGGUGGUCAGGUAGAGAAUACCAAGGCGCUUGAGAGAACUCGGGUGAAGGAACUAGGCAAAAUGGUGCCGUAACUUCGGGAGAAGGCACGCUGAUACGUAGGUGAAGCGACUUGCUCGUGGAGCUGAAAUCAGUCGAAGAUACCAGCUGGCUGCAACUGUUUAUUAAAAACACAGCACUGUGCAAACACGAAAGUGGACGUAUACGGUGUGACGCCUGCCCGGUGCCGGAAGGUUAAUUGAUGGGGUUAGCGCAAGCGAAGCUCUUGAUCGAAGCCCCGGUAAACGGCGGCCGUAACUAUAACGGUCCUAAGGUAGCGAAAUUCCUUGUCGGGUAAGUUCCGACCUGCACGAAUGGCGUAAUGAUGGCCAGGCUGUCUCCACCCGAGACUCAGUGAAAUUGAACUCGCUGUGAAGAUGCAGUGUACCCGCGGCAAGACGGAAAGACCCCGUGAACCUUUACUAUAGCUUGACACUGAACAUUGAGCCUUGAUGUGUAGGAUAGGUGGGAGGCUUUGAAGUGUGGACGCCAGUCUGCAUGGAGCCGACCUUGAAAUACCACCCUUUAAUGUUUGAUGUUCUAACGUGGACCCGUGAUCCGGGUUGCGGACAGUGUCUGGUGGGUAGUUUGACUGGGGCGGUCUCCUCCUAAAGAGUAACGGAGGAGCACGAAGGUUGGCUAAUCCUGGUCGGACAUCAGGAGGUUAGUGCAAUGGCAUAAGCCAGCUUGACUGCGAGCGUGACGGCGCGAGCAGGUGCGAAAGCAGGUCAUAGUGAUCCGGUGGUUCUGAAUGGAAGGGCCAUCGCUCAACGGAUAAAAGGUACUCCGGGGAUAACAGGCUGAUACCGCCCAAGAGUUCAUAUCGACGGCGGUGUUUGGCACCUCGAUGUCGGCUCAUCACAUCCUGGGGCUGAAGUAGGUCCCAAGGGUAUGGCUGUUCGCCAUUUAAAGUGGUACGCGAGCUGGGUUUAGAACGUCGUGAGACAGUUCGGUCCCUAUCUGCCGUGGGCGCUGGAGAACUGAGGGGGGCUGCUCCUAGUACGAGAGGACCGGAGUGGACGCAUCACUGGUGUUCGGGUUGUCAUGCCAAUGGCACUGCCCGGUAGCUAAAUGCGGAAGAGAUAAGUGCUGAAAGCAUCUAAGCACGAAACUUGCCCCGAGAUGAGUUCUCCCUGACCCUUUAAGGGUCCUGAAGGAACGUUGAAGACGACGACGUUGAUAGGCCGGGUGUGUAAGCGCAGCGAUGCGUUGAGCUAACCGGUACUAAUGAACCGUGAGGCUUAACCUU
rnacentral:rRNA from 1 species